UGAGCAGGAAUGGCAAUGUGGACCUCUGUGAUGGGACAUCUUGUGGGAUCUCACAGCCAGUUCUGUGGCAAAGGAGGAUGAAGGCUUACGAGGUGAGUACUGAAUAGUAAUGAGAAGUUAGGUUGAAAGGACAGUGCCACAAUGAUGACAUCAUAUUUGCUACUCUUGACAGCUGGGGUGACGAUAGCUUUAAACCACCAUGAUUAUAACUGAGGCACACAAAAUAAUGAUUUGGGGGCUACUUACAGAGUAAGCAGUUUUUACAUAAAGAUUUCCCCCCCAGGACUCGUCAGGAAGCUGGAUAACAGAACAAGUGCAAUGUGCUAGAAGACCAGAAAAUGAAAUGGUGGAGUUUGAGGCUGGAUAGACAGUUUGAAAGGUAAGUAUUGAAAAACACUUGAAUUUGGGUCAGUACAAAGGGACAUGCAGAGACUUUGAAUCAUCAAAACUCCAGCAUGCAUUGUCCUACGGAUGUUUAGAUAGGUGUGUUUUGGAUAACACACGGGGUUCUUGUAAUGAUGUUGAUCAAAUGUCUGAGCUGAAAAUAACUUGUAGACAAUUUUUAACACUGAAGAACCCUGUGGCAGGCAACUAAGAAUAGUCGAAUGAUGUUUAGCAUAUUUGUAAGAGGUAUUUUCUUUUAAUUCUAGUUAACUGUGGUUGCAUGCUUGUUCAUUUGGCUGGCUUGCUUGGGUAAGAAGCCAUUGGGGGCCUUGAAUUCCCUCCAGUCAUUUGCAGUAUUUACUGCAUAACAUUUAGCUUUUGAACAUGCAUGUGCUACCAUCAGUACUAAAUGGUGCCUUAAAUUUUUUUCAGGUACAAAUGAUGGUUUGAAUAAAGGUAUAACGCACGGGUCGCCUCAAGUGAAGGCACUGCAAACAAAAUGAUUGGUCAUUCUGAAUUUCCGGUCCUUCAUUCUGAAUUUCAAAGGCUCCUGUGACAAGUGGACAUGCAGUGACUGUACCUUUGUUUCUGAGGUGCCUGGAUGGAGGCUCAAAUAGAAGAUGGUGUCAGAUAUAUUGUGUUGUCAAAAUUUUACCAUUAAAGUGUAUUAUAACAUGAA
ensembl:processed_transcript Gas5 growth arrest specific 5